UGAGGAAUAUUGGUCAAUGGGAGAGAUCCUGAACCAGCCAAGCCGCGUGAGGGAAGACGGCACUACGUGUUGUAAACCUCUUUUGCCGGGGAACAAAAGCGGGGACGCGUCCCCGUCUGCGUGUACCCGGAGAAAAAGCAUCGGCUAACUCCGUGCCAGCAGCCGCGGUAAUACGGAGGAUGCGAGCGUUAUCCGGAUUUAUUGGGUUUAAAGGGUGCGUAGGCGGUUCCUUAAGUAAGCGGUAAAAUCGCGGGGCUCAACCCCGCCGAGCCGUUUAGACUGGGGGACUUGAGACGGCGAGAAGUAUGCGGAAUGCGCGGUGUAGCGGUGAAAUGCUUAGAUAUCACGAAGAACUCCUAUUGCGAAGGCAGCUCACUAAACUGCAACUGACAUUGAGGCUCGAAAGUGUGGGUAUCAAACAGGAUUAGAUACC
rnacentral:rRNA from 1 species